AGUGGCGAACGGGUGAGUAACGCGUGAGGAACCUGCCUCAAAGAGGGGGGACAACAGUUGGAAACGACUGCUAAUACCGCAUAAGACCACGGUUUCACAUGGAACUGAGGUAAAAGAUUUAUCGGUUUGGGGUGGGCUCGCGUCCGAUUAGGUAGUUGGUGAGGUAACGGCCCACCAAGCCGACGAUCGGUAGCCGACCUGAGAGGGUGAUCGGCCACAUUGGGACUGAGACACGGCCCAAACUCCUACGGGAGGCAGCAGUGGGGAAUAUUGGGCAAUGGAGGAAACUCUGACCCAGCAACGCCGCGUGCGGGACGGAGGCCUUCGGGUCGUAAACCGCUUUCAGCAGGGAAGAGUCAAGACUGUACCUGCAGAAGAAGCCCCGGCUAACUACGUGCCAGCAGCCGCGGUAAUACGUAGGGGGCGAGCGUUAUCCGGAUUCAUUGGGCGUAAAGCGCGCGUAGGCGGCCCGGCAGGCCGGGGGUCGAAGCGGGGGGCUCAACCCCCCGAAGCCCCCGGAACCUCCGCGGCUUGGGUCCGGUAGGGGAGGGUGGAACACCCGGUGUAGCGGUGGAAUGCGCAGAUAUCGGGUGGAACACCGGUGGCGAAGGUGGCUUACUGGACGGUAACUGACGUUGAGGCUCGAAAGCGUGGGGAGCAAACAGGAUUAGAUACCCUAGUAGUCCAUGCCGUAAACGAUGAUUACUAGGUGUGGGGAGAUUGACCCUCUCCGUGCCGCAGUUAACACAAUAAGUAAUCCACCUGGGGAGUACGACCGCAAGGUUGAAACUCAAAGGAAUUGACGGGGGCCCGCACAAGCAGUGGAGUAUGUGGUUUAAUUCGAAGCAACGCGAAGAACCUUACCAGGUCUUGACAUCCAACGACCGCUUAAGAGAUUAAGCUUUCCUUCGGGACGUUGAGACAGGUGGUGCAUGGUUGUCAUCAGCUCGUGUCGUGAGAUGUUGGGUUAAGUCCCGCAACGAGCGCAACCCUUAUCGUCAGUUACUACGCAAGAGGACUCUGGCGAGACUGCCGUUGACAAAACGGAGGAAGGUGGGGAUGACGUCAAAUCAUCAUGCCCUUUAUGACCUGGGCUACACACGUACUACAAUGGCUGCAAACAAAGAGAAGCGAAGCCGCGAGGCAGAGCAAACCUCAUAAACGCAGUCUCAGUUCGGAUUGCAGGCUGCAACCCGCCUGCAUGAAGCCGGAAUUGCUAGUAAUCGCGGAUCAGCAUGCCGCGGUGAAUACGUUCCCGGGCCUUGCACACACCGCCCGUCA
rnacentral:rRNA from 1 species